GUUGAACGCUGGCGGCAUGCCUAACACAUGCAAGUCGAGCGGAUGAAGGUAGCUUGCUCCUCGAUUCAGCGGCGGACGGGUGGGUAAUGCCUAGGAAUCGGCCUGGUCGUGGGGGAUAACGUCCGGAAACGGGAGCUAAUACCGCAUACGUUCUAAAGGAGAAACAGGAGGAUCUUCGGACCUCGCUCCAUCUGAUUAACCUAGGUCGGAUUAGCUAGUUGGUGGGGUAAAGGCCUACCAAGGCGACGAUCCGUAACUGGUCUGAGAGGAUGAUCAGUCACACUGGAACUGAGACACGGUCCAGACUCCUACGGGAGGCAGCAGUGGGGAAUAUUGGCCAUAGGGCGAAAUCCUGAUCCAGCCAGGCCGCGUGUGUGAAGAAGGUCUUCGGAUUGUAAAGCACUUUAAGUUGGGAGGAAGGGCAGUAAGGUAAUACCUUGCUGUUUUGACGUUACCAACAGAAUAAGCACCGGCUAACUUCGUG
rnacentral:rRNA from 1 species